CAGCCGCCGCGGUAAUACGAAGGGUGCAAGCGUUAAUCGGAAUUACUGGGCGUAAAGCGUGCGUAGGCGGUUUGUUAAGUCUGCUGUGAAAUCCCCGGGCUCAACCUGGGAAUGGCAGUGGAUACUGGCAAGCUAGAGUGUGUCAGAGGAUGGUGGAAUUCCCGGUGUAGCGGUGAAAUGCGUAGAGAUUGGGAGGAACAUCAGUGGCGAAGGCGGCCAUCUGGGACAACACUGACGCUGAGGCACGAAAGCGUGGGGAGCAAACAGGAUUAGAUACCCCAGUAGUCCCUGUCUCUUAUAC
rnacentral:rRNA from 1 species